UACGUGGGGUGCAAGCGUUGUUCGGAAUUACUGGGCGUAAAGAGCGUGUAGGCGGCCAGGUAGGUCUGGUGUGAAAACUCGAGGCUUAACCUCGAGAUGUCAUCGGAAACCAUUUGGCUAGAGUCCGGAAGAGGAGAGUGGAAUUCCUGGUGUAGCGGUGAAAUGCGCAGAUAUCAGGAAGAACACCAAUGGCGAAAGCAGCUCUCUGGGACGGUACUGACGCUGAGACGCGAAAGCGUGGGGAGCGAACAGG
rnacentral:rRNA from 1 species